UACGAAGGGGGCUAGCGUUGCUCGGAAUGACUGGGCGUAAAGGGCGCGUAGGCGGAAUGCUUUGUCGGGCGUGAAAUUCCAGGGCUCAACUCCAGAACUGCCUUUGAUACUGGAGAGCUUGAGUCCGGGAGAGGUGAGUGGAACUCCGAGUGUAGAGGUGAAAUUCGUAGAUAUUCGGAAGAACACCAGUGGCGAAGGCGGCUCACUGGCCCGGUACUGACGCUGAGGUGCGAAAGCGUGGGGAGCAAACAGG
rnacentral:rRNA from 1 species